rnacentral:lncRNA from 1 species
CUGCUCGGAGUAUCAUCCUGCAGUAAUAGAAAUCUCAUCUUGCGACGUCGCUUCUCUCCUCCCGAAUCCCUUGUCUCGUGCCCGAUCCACCUUCACCUGGAGCUCCACCUCGUUAUGGGCUCCACUUGGUUUUUGAAGCUCCACCUCACACAGGGCUCUCCGUCAGAUAAUAAUGUCCUCUUCUCCCCUUCUUUCCCUCCAGAACAAUCCUAUCACCGCGUAG